CCUACGGGAGGCAGCAGUGAGGAAUAUUGGUCAAUGGGCGGAAGCCUGAACCAGCCAAGUCGCGUGAGGGAUUAAGGCCCUGCGGGUCGUAAACCUCUUUUGCCGGGGAGCAGUGGUCCGGACGCGUCCGGACCGGGAGAGUACCCGGAGAAAAAGCAUCGGCUAACUCCGUGCCAGCAGCCGCGGUAAUACGGAGGAUGCGAGCGUUAUCCGGAUUUAUUGGGUUUAAAGGGUGCGUAGGCGGGCAUUUAAGCCGGCGGUCAAAUGUCGGGGCUCAACUUCGGAACUACUACUAAAACUGUUGGACUUGAGUGCAGGAGGGGCAAUCGGAAUUCCUAGUGUAGCGGUGGAAUGCGUAGAUAUUAGGAGGAACACCAGUGGCGAAGGCGGAUUGCUAGACUGUAACUGACACUGAGGCACGAAAGCGUGGGGAGCAAACAGGAUUAGAUACCCUGGUAGUC
rnacentral:rRNA from 1 species